rnacentral:rRNA from 1 species
UAAUUGGAGAGUUUGAUCCUGGCUCAGAUUGAACGCUGGCGGCAUGCCUAACACAUGCAAGUCGAACGAGCUGUAGCAAUACAGCUAGUGGCGGACGGGUGAGGAAUACAUAGGAAUUUGCCUUUAAGUGGGGGAUAGCCCGGGGAAACUCGGAGUAAUACCGCAUGAUGUCGAAAGACCAAAGCAGGGGACCGCAAGGCCUUGCGCUUUUAGAGAAGCCUAUGUCGGAUUAGCUAGUUGGUGAGGUAAUGGCUCACCAAGGCGACGAUCCGUAGCUGGUCUGAGAGGACGAUCAGCCACACUGGAACUGAGACACGGUCCAGACUCCUACGGGAGGCAGCAGUGGGGAAUAUUGGACAAUGGGCGAAAGCCUGAUCCAGCAAUGCCGCGUGUGUGAAGAAGGCCUUCGGGUUGUAAAGCACUUUAAGCAGGGAAGAAAAAAUCGGCGAUAACAUCGCCGGUCUUGACGGUACCUGAAGAAUAAGCACCGGCUAACUCUGUGCCAGCAGCCGCGGUAAUACAGAGGGUGCAAGCGUUAAUCGGAUUUACUGGGCGUAAAGCGUGUGUAGGUGGUUGGGAAAGUCAAUUGUGAAAGCCCAGGGCUUAACUCUGGAACUGCUUUUGAUACUGUCCAACUAGAAUUCGGUAGAGGGAGGCGGAACUCCAGGUGUAGCGGUGAAAUGCGUAGAUAUCUGGAAGAACACCAAUGGCGAAGGCAACCUCCUGGGCCUGAAUUGACACUGAGACACGAAAGCGUGGGGAUCAAACAGGAUUAGAUACCCUGGUAGUCCACGCCGUAAACGAUGAGAACUUGACGUCGGUUUGCUCUGCGAAUCGGUGUCGUAGCUAACGCGUUAAAUAUCCCGCCUGGGAAGUACGGUCGCAAGAUUAAAACUCAAAGAAAUUGACGGGGGCCCGCACAAGCGGUGGAGUAUGUGGUUUAAUUCGAUGCAACGCGCAGAACCUUACCUGGUCUUGACAUGUCGCGAACCCUGCAGAGAUGCGGGGGUGCCUUCGGGAACGCGAACACAGGUGCUGCAUGGCUGUCGUCAGCUCGUGUCGUGAGAUGUUGGGUUAAGUCCCGCAACGAGCGCAACCCUUGCCAUUAGUUGCCAUCAGGUUAGGCUGGGCACUUUAAUGGAACUACCGGCGAUGAGCCGGGGGAGGGUAAGGAUGACGUCAAGUCCUCAUGGCCCUUAUAGGCUGGGCUACACACGUGCUACAAUGGUGGUGACAGUGGGCAGCGAGACAGCGAUGUCGAGCUAAUCUCCAAAAGCCAUCUCAGUUCGGAUUGCACUCUGCAACUCGAGUGCAUGAAGUUGGAAUCGCUAGUAAUCGCGGAUCAGCAU